AGUGGCUCAGUAUUGAACGCUGGCGGCAGGCCUAACACAUGCAAGUCGAGCGGAUGACAGGAGCUUGCUCCUGAAUUCAGCGGCGGACGGGUGAGUAAUGCCUAGGAUCUGCCUGGUAGUGGGGGACAACGUUUCGAAAGGAACGCUAAUACCGCAUACGUCCUACGGGAGAAAGCAGGGGACCUUCGGGCCUUGCGCUAUCAGAUGAGCCUAGGUCGGAUUAGCUAGUUGGUGAGGUAAUGGCUCACCAAGGCGACGAUCCGUAACUGGUCUGAGAGGAUGAUCAGUCACACUGGAACUGAGACACGGUCCAGACUCCUACGGGAGGCAGCAGUGGGGAAUAUUGGACAAUGGGCGAAAGCCUGAUCCAGCCAUGCCGCGUGUGUGAAGAAGGUCUUCGGAUUGUAAAGCACUUUAAGUUGGGAGGAAGGGCAUUAACCUAAUACGUUAGUGUUUUGACGUUACCGACAGAAUAAGCACCGGCUAACUCUGUG
rnacentral:rRNA from 1 species